CCUUGUGUCCAGCCCCACUGUGGAGCAAAUAUAAGAAGGACACACUGCAAAAGCUCAAAGUAUCUUCUAAUGAUGUCCUCAGAAUGCUGCUGAAAAAGUCCAGGGGAGCCAGGCCCAAAGGAGCAGCUGGACGCCAUAUUCAGGCGUCUGGAGGAGGACGUCCUGACUUUUGUCAAAGAGCAGCUGCAGAGGCUCCACAGGCUCCUGGCCUCAGAUUACCCAGAAUGCUCUGAGAGUGAGGAG